CAUUCCUUCACCCCAGCUCUUAAAAACUCCUGCCCUUUGUUUCAGUGGAGCUGGUAUUCAGAAUUGGUCUUGCUGUCUCUCCUAUUGCUGGAAACAGGGUUGGAAGCAAUCAGCUUCUGUCUUCAUCUUCUUCAGUUCAAUUUUCUUCUUUAGCAGGUAUUAUCUUCUGUUUCUGUUGCAUCUGUUCUGGAUGUCUCUGAUGCACCAUGACUUCCAGUUAACUGAUCCAUAGUCUACAUAUCCAUUCUUCCAAUGUUUGCAGGUACAAAAACAAUGCCUCAGAGAAGACAGUUUGUCCGGCAUCACAUAACCAGCAAGUGUCAGAGUCAAAGACAUGAAUCCAGAAUCUCCAUAUUAUGUGUUUCUUUGCAGUCCCUCCAGUAAAGUAGAAGAAGCAAUUCUCCUCUGUGACCAUGAAAUUGAAUUGGGACCUGUGCUGUAAGAAAUCGCCCAGAAUGUCACAGGAGACUGGCACACACCCUCUAAUGAGAAAACAUUUUACAAGCAACAAAAACCAUGGUCAAAAAUAAUCAGAGUUGAUGAUGGAAAGAAACCUAAAGGAGCAUAAUCCAAAAAGCGGAAAAAGUUAAUCCUCUCCAUCCACCCAGGAUUAGCCUGCCCAUCCAACAGAUCCAUGACUUUGAUAUUAGCUCUCUGGAAGCAUUAAAUUAAUUGUGAAAUUUUUUUCCUAAGGAGAAAGGAUGAAUAUUUGUUUUAAAAAUAAAACAAAAUUAAGACUAUAUACAGUCGGAAGAAG